GCAGACCGCGGCCUCUUUUCUGUUCCUGAAGAGGACAGUGGCUUCAAAGGCGGUGACGGGACGGCUUCCGCCAGUGUGGGGUGUGCAGGUGCUGCCGCCGUGGCUGCAACAGGAGCCCUGGAGCAAAGAGACUCCAAUGAAACAGCAUGCAGGCCAUUCAAGAGAGCUCUGGGACCCCUCAGCUGUCUCUGGAGUGGCUGGCAGCACUGUGAGGCCUCCAUAAACAGAGGUAAGUGAGCUACUAAAGUCGUAUUUCUGAGCAAGUUCUUCCAGGACUGAGGGCAUAGAGAUUGAACUCAGGGCCCUAGAGACUGAACUCAGGGCUUUCACACAG
rnacentral:lncRNA from 1 species